rnacentral:rRNA from 1 species
UACGGAGGGAGCUAGCGUUGUUCGGAAUUACUGGGCGUAAAGCGUACGUAGGCGGCUUUGUAAGUAAGAGGUGAAAGCCUGGUGCUCAACUUCGGAAUGGCCUCCGAUACUGCCGUGCUUGAGGACUGGAGAGGAGUCUGGAAUUCACAGUGGAGCAGUGAAAUGCGUAGAUAUUGUGAGGAACACUAGUGGCGAAGGCGAGACUCUGGACAGUUCCUGACGCUGAGGCACGAAGGCCAGGGGAGCAAACGGG